GGUGAACGCUGGCGGUAGGCCUAACACAUGCAAGUCGAACGGCAGCACAGGAGAGCUUGCUCUCUGGGUGGCGAGUGGCGGACGGGUGAGGAAUACAUCGGAAUCUACUCUGUCGUGGGGGAUAACGUAGGGAAACUUACGCUAAUACCGCAUACGACCUACGGGUGAAAGAAGGGGACCUUCGGGCCUUGCGCGAUUGAAUGAGCCGAUGUCGGAUUAGCAAGUUGGCGGGGUAAAGGCCAACCAAGGCGACGAUCCGUAGCUGGUCUGAGAGGAUGAUCAGCCACACUGGAACUGAGACACGGUCCAGACUCCUACGGGAGGCAGCAGUGGGGAAUAUUGGACAAUGGGCGCAAGCCUGAUCCAGCCAUACCGCGUGGGUGAAGAAGGCCUUCGGGUUGUAAAGCCCUUUUGUUGGGAAAGAAAUCCAGCUGGCUAAUACCCGGUUGGGAUGACGGUACCCAAAGAAUAAGCACCGGCUAACUUCGUGCCAGCCGCCGCCGUAA
rnacentral:rRNA from 1 species